GACGAACCUUCUCCUAGGAUCAAAAUCUUAGUCUGAUGAAUCUUUCUCCUAAGAUAAUAAAAAACAAGACCUAGUCCGAUGAAUUUUCUCCUAGGAUCAAAAAAAAAUAAUAAUAAAAAAGAGAGAGUUAUUUUUAGCUUUUUAGAUUAUCAAUGUUUAAUUUUCCUAAAGCCAGGCGCCCACCUGUAUAACGAGAGGAAUACAUUUCAGUCUUUUCAUUUCAAGUGUUGAAGCCAGGCGCCUACCUGUAUAACAAGGGAAUACAUUCCAUGUCGUACCAAUAGGAGACACACUUCCUAGCUUGGCUUUUCAGGUUAUAUUUUAUUUUAGGAGACUCACUUCCUAAAUUGAGAUUUU
rnacentral:lncRNA from 1 species